AGUCGAGCGGCAGCGGGAAAGUAGCUUGCUACUUUUGCCGGCGAGCGGCGGACGGGUGAGUAAUGCCUGGGGAUCUGCCCAGUCGAGGGGGAUAACAGUUGGAAACGACUGCUAAUACCGCAUACGCCCUACGGGGGAAAGGAGGGGACCUUCGGGCCUUUCGCGAUUGGAUGAACCCAGGUGGGAUUAGCUAGUUGGUGGGGUAAUGGCUCACCAAGGCGACGAUCCCUAGCUGGUCUGAGAGGAUGAUCAGCCACACUGGAACUGAGACACGGUCCAGACUCCUACGGGAGGCAGCAGUGGGGAAUAUUGCACAAUGGGGGAAACCCUGAUGCAGCCAUGCCGCGUGUGUGAAGAAGGCCUUCGGGUUGUAAAGCACUUUCAGCGAGGAGGAAAGGUUGGCGCCUAAUACGUGUCAACUGUGACGUUACUCGCAGAAGAAGCACCGGCUAACUCCGUGCCA
rnacentral:rRNA from 1 species